rnacentral:rRNA from 1 species
GAGUCGAAUGUAGCAAUACAUGGCGAACUGCUCAGUAACACGUGGACAACCUGCCUUAGGACGGGGAUAAACCCGGGAAACUGGGUAUAAUACCCGAUAGGUCUCGAUUGCUGGAAUGCAUCGAGAUUUAAAGCUCCGGCGCCUAAGGAUGGGUCUGCGGCCUAUCAGGUAGUAGUGGGUGUAGCGUACCUACUAGCCUACGACGGGUACGGGUUGUGAGAGCAAGAGCCCGGAGAUGGAUUCUGAGACACGAAUCCAGGCCCUACGGGGUGCAGCAGGCGCGAAAACUUUACAAUGCUGGCAACAGCGAUAAGGGAACCUCGAGUGCCAGGUUACAAAUCUGGCUGUCGAGAUGCCUAAAAAGCAUUUCAUAGCAAGGGCCGGGCAAGACCGGUGCCAGCCGCCGCGGUAACACCGGCGGCUCGAGUGGUAACCGUUAUUAUUGGGUCUAAAGGGUCUGUAGCCGGCCGGAUAAGUCUCUUGAGAAAUCUGGCAGCUUAACUGUCGGGCUUUCAGGAGAUACUGUCUGGCUCGAGGCCGGGAGAGGUGAGAGGUACUUCAGGGGUAGGGGUGAAAUCUUGU